rnacentral:rRNA from 1 species
GACGAACGCUGGCGGCGUGCUUAACACGUGCAAGUCGAACGGGAAGUCCCGGCUUUUUGGGGGUGCGCUAGUGACGAACGGGGAAGUAACACUUGGGUAAGCUGUCCUUCACUGUGUGGGGACUUCAUGAAACUUAAGCUAUUACCUGCUAGGAUCUCCUGCUGCUGGGUGGGGGUGGGUAAGUUUCGGCGGUUGGUGAUGGACUCGCGGCUUAUCAGCUUGUUGCUGGGGUAGUGGCUUACCAAGGCUUUGACGGGUAGCCGGGCUGAGAGGGUGACCGGCCACAUUGCGACUGAGAUAAGGCACAGACUCCUACGGGAGGCAGCAGUGGAGAAUAGAGCACAAUGGGAGGAAGCAUGAUGCAGCCCAGCAGCGCGGGGGAUGACGGCCUUGGGGUUGUAAAGCGCAUUCGCCUGUGCCGAAGCGUGAGUGACGGUACCGGGUAAAGAAGCACCGGCUAACUACGUG